GUGACUGAUGUUGAUUGUCUCAGUGUGGAGCUCCAUGUGAAGGGUACAAAAAGAAGAUUGCUUGGUCUCAGUCAGACUGCGAGGACUGCUCACACAAACACUGCUGAUCGCUAUCAGCUGAAUUCAUCUCAUCACUCUUGCAGACACCAUGGGCGCUCGUCAGUCCGCCAUUCAUAUUACGAACCAGGCUCAGGGCUACACCCUUCAAAACCCCAGUCUGCAUCUUGUUAGCGGACUCUGCCAAAUUCCUUUGCCAACGAAACUUGAGCCUUUUGAAUCUGGCAACGCUCUGUUCUCUAAGAUUGGUGGCACAGCACGUGGAACUGUUGGAGUCUUCACCUACGAUCUCUACGAUCAAUCUACAAACAGAGCUGAUAAGAAAAUAGGUGUCAUGUUCUCAGUUCCUUUUGACUAUGGUCUGUACUGUAACUGGUACGCAGUCGGAGUCUUUGGUAGGACCACAAACUGUGAUUAUGAUCUUUAUCGUAAGAUGUAUCACAAUCCUGAAAGAGGGUUUGUCAGAGGAAAAGCUGAUGGUCAUGAUCUGACUCACACAGAUAUUAAUGUUACUAUUAAAGUCAGCAUGACAAACUUGAGUGUUGCAACACUGAAAGUUGAAGUACACAACAUACAAAGAGGAGGUCUUACUGCUUUUAGGGCAGAUCUUGAGAAAAGGCUUGAUCACCCUUUAUCAGUAUUAUUUUUACUUACCUUAAAACUGCUGAUCAGGAUAAACAGAUAUAAACUCACUAAGUUAACGCAGGGUUUCCCAAUCUUCCACAGAAAAUGGUCCUCACAACAUCUACACAAGAGAUAUAGGAAUAGUGAUGAAAAAUCUAUAACUAUCAUGGUCCUGGGUCGUUGACCCAGCGUUUUGUGUUUCAUUUUGGUGUCAUCUUAUGUUUUGUGUUAAUUCUUAUUUUGCAUUAUUGCUUAGGGUUUGGUUCUUGUGUUUAGUGCUUUAGUGUUCUCCCUCUUGUGCUCUGUUCGUGUCCCUGAGCUUGUCUUUGUGAAUUUCCUGUUUUAUUUUGAAGGUCUGUGUCUGCUAUCACUGUGUCAGUUUGUGUCUUCCUGUUGUCUUCUGAAUUAGGAUCAGCUGUGUUCCCCUCCUGUGUGUAAUUCCCUCGUUACCUUGUGUGUAUUUAUAGUGUGUGCCUGCUUGUGUUCCUUGUCGGUUUGUCUGUGUUAAUCAGUGUUUUGCCAUGUCAUUUCUGUUUAUCUCCCGGUGUCCUUAUGUUUUCAGGUUUGUUUAUUAGUUUCUCCCAGUUUAGAUUUAUGUUUAGUUCAGCGCUUUCUUUUGUUAUGUUUUGUGCACUGUAAAUAAACUCACUCACAUUACCGCCGCUGACUGCUACUUGGAUCCUCCUUCUCAUCUCCACACGACUGCUGCCCUAGCCAUGACAAGAAAUACCAGUAAAAUACAAUCCUGUUGUAAAAAGGACAUGCAAUUAAUGUUGCAGCAAAUUGUUAAUCUGAUGAUUUGAACUGCAGUGCUGAGUACUGAGCAUGCUCAGAGAGUGCUCAGUAUGGCUGUUUGUUUCCCAGGUGAUCAGAUCAGAGUGAUUGAAUAUGAAUGGCUGAACAUGUAUUCAGGCAUGUGUUAUAUGCUUGUGGCAGUGAAACAGCAACAUCAGAUCAGAAUCAUUUUCUGAUCACAUGAACACAAUUCGCCCAGCACAUAAUCAACAUACUUUAGAAGAAUCAGUGAAAAUGCUUCCAGCUUGUUUUAGACUGAACUCUGGACAUAACUCCCGGCAGUUUGAGCUUUUAUUCUCUCAGCUACAGCUGUUUGAGAUUGUGAACCAGCUCCGUAGUACAGAAAACCCAGGCUUAAUGUUAAAGUUACCUGAAUGAGCAAACUUCCCUGGAGUUAAAACCUUUAGUAAUUUAAAAAUAAAGGUUUAACAUUGAAUCAUUCAAGGUCAGGUAAGCAGGUAACACAUGCUUGCAUAGAUGGGAUGUAAUAAGUUGGAUUACUGAUGAAAUCAGAUGCAAACUCUCCACCAAAUGUUUUGAAAGUCGUCACUGAAAUUUGAGGAAGUAAUGGAAGAUUUCAGGGAUUUAAUAAUCUGUUACUGAUUCUGCUGUAAAUACUUUCCGAGAAAUACUGUUUUCUGUGCAUUAAUGUAAACAUUUGCUUCUUUGUUUUCUGAGUCCUGAACAUGAAUAAAGAAAUAAAUCAGA